GUGCCGUGAUGACCUCUUAGGACACCUUUGGAUUCUCCAUGAAAACAAACCAGUAGAUCCUGAGCACC